ACAGUGUGUUUAGUAUUGUCGUCUAAACUUAUAAACUCACGAGCACAAGCAUGUAUGUGUUUACAAAUAUUCGCUUUAAUAACAUUAUCAAUGCAAGUGCAAUGAAAGGUGUGAAUGCAAAUAUCACACUUUAUGCAUUUCAAACAUGAUGAAUAUGAACAUGUUUCAUCAGUUUUUAUAAUUUAGUGCUGCUGCGAGGGAUUGGAUAAGGAUUUGAUAAUAUAUACUUUUUUGUUUUCCACAAUUUGUAUUUGUUCCAGUUUAAUUAAUUUACUUGAAUUAUGACUUUGACGUACUCUUUGGACUUUUUCAGUAGGGACAUUUUUCGAUAACUUAAUCAAACGUUUGUAUAGGCUAUCUCUGGAAUAUUUCAUAAGAGCAUUAAUUGUUUUGUCCAAACGUUUUACUCUUUUUCCUUCCAAAUAUAUGUGUUUUAAUACUUUAUGAAACGAUUCCAAGUACAUGUUGGUAUUAAUUCCAAGUCUUAGUUGAUAGCAAUAUGCCCAACAUUCUGGGCGUUUUGAGUAAUAUUUUUCGAAAUAUGCCCCAAAUGUACUGGUGUCUUUGUCUUGUUUUAAAUCUCUUAUGACAAUUUGGAGAUCGUUUUUAAAUUCAUCAAUGGAUGUGGUUUGUAAUAAUAAUCUCAGCGUUUUAUAGACAAGUGAUUUUUUCUCUGAUCCACCACUAAUUUUAGAUAAAUUUUGUCUCCAGUUUUAUCGACGUGCCAAGUACACAGAAGUCUAUGUUCAACUGAUCCCAUUAUGGUAACCCAAGCAUUAUAAAAUGCAGGAGCAUCAUCUGUCAUAAAAACUUUACAGUCAAUAACUCCUACAUUGAAUUUGAUUUUUUCAAAAAAUAAUUGAAAAAUUAGCGCUCAUCGGAUCGAUUCGAUAAACAAAAUGCAACUGGGCAACCAGAUCCAAAUUCAUCUACAGUGACAACAGUAUACAAUUGAAUGUCAUAUGCAUUAGUUCCUAGCAUAGUCAAUGUUAAAAUUACGUGAAAUAUUGUGUAGAUCUUUCCGUUCCAAAAGAAGAGAUCUUUGAUGUGUAUCAUCAGUUACUUCAGCAUCACGAAUCGAAUCUAUGAUGUGUUCAAAGAUGCACUAGAUGACAUGAUGCUCAGCUGUUAAGAUACAAACAAAAAUAAAAUACUAGCUAAAUGAAAAUCACAAUAAGUAUAAACACCUAUGUCAGCCUGAGAUUAAUAACUUAUUUUUAGAAGAUUUAUGACUUGGAAAUUUCUUGUUAUUAUGUAUAUUUUAAAUGUUCAAAUAUUUUAUAUAGCAAUCAAUGAUAUUGUAUUUGGAGUUGAAUAAAAUAAAUGUCAUAUAUCUAAAUAUGUAUACACAAGUAACUAGGAACAUUUCCUAUUUCUAAUAUUUAUAAAAAUGAAAAUAAUAAAAUACAUUGUAUUUAUUUAAA